rnacentral:tRNA from 1 species
CUCCGAUUAGCUUAGUCUGGUUAAAGUGUUCCGUUUGGGGCGGAAAAACGAACGUUCGAAUCGUUCAUUGGAGA